GGAGAGGUGGCUGAGUGGUCUAAAGCACCGGACUUGAAAUCCGGCGUACGGCUUGCCGUACCGUGGGUUCGAAUCCCACCCUCUCCGCCA
rnacentral:tRNA from 2 species